UGGGGAAUCUUGCGCAAUGGGCGAAAGCCUGACGCAGCCAUGCCGCGUGAGUGAUGAAGGCCUUAGGGUUGUAAAACUCUUUCACCGGGGACGAUAAUGACGGUACCCGGAGAAGAAGCCCCGGCUAACUUCGUGCCAGCAGCCGCGGUAAUACGAAGGGGGCUAGCGUUGCUCGGAAUUACUGGGCGUAAAGGGCGCGUAGGCGGAUCAGCAAGUUGGGGGUGAAAGCCCGGGGCUCAACCUCGGAAUUGCCUUCAAAACUGCUGAUCUAGAGUACGGGAGAGGUGUGUGGAACUCCGAGUGUAGAGGUGAAAUUCGUAGAUAUUCGGAAGAACACCAGUGGCGAAGGCGACACACUGGCCCGUUACUGACGCUGAGGCGCGAAAGCGUGGGGAGCAAACAGGAUUAGAUACCCUGGUAGUCCACGCUGUAAACGAUGAUUGCUAGUUGUCGGCAGGCAUGCCUGUCGGUGACGCAGCUAACGCAUUAAGCAUCCGCCUGGGGAGUACGGUCGCAAGAUUAAAACUUAAUGAAUUGGCGGGGGUCAUAGCUGUUU
rnacentral:rRNA from 1 species